AUGGCUUUUUGUCUGCCUUUGGUUGAGAGCCUGGAGUCUCCCUCCUCCCUUCACAGACAACAUGGCUGCCCUCCCUCCUCCCUUCACGGACAACAUGGCUGCCCUCCCUCCCGCUCCCCGUCCAGCUGGAGGCUACCACGUCAGCUGAUGACCUUUGUCAUCCCCCCGGUGCCUCCAGGGAGUUUUUCAGAGACUACGUGUUGGAGUUUCUGCAAGAACAAACUAUUAGGCGCCAAAGCAGCACUCACCCGAAGCAAAGCCCAAGCUGGGCCUGGACUCUGAGUGCCGGGGAAGUGAACCGUGAGGCCCAAGGACUUCAACAUGCAGAGCAGAAUUCUCUACUUUCAGCCUCUGUGGUCUUGGAAGAGCCACUGGGCAGCCUGGGGUUUCUCAGAAGCCCUGGAGUCAGCAGACUUUACCCGGAUGCUGCUCUAUUAAACUGUCUGUAUUCUCAGGCAUAACUUAAAAGUCACCCCAUGCCUACGUUAAUGCUCGUUGCCUCCCUGUUAAAUGUGCUUAUUGAUGUGUGGCCUUUCUUGGUCAAGUCGGGGACCGCAGAGGAGCUGAAGUUAUAAAGGAGAAGACAGGGAGUGUUAACAUUGAACUUUAACAUGCAAAAAUGUGCACUAUUGCAAAAUAGACCCCGCAAACAUAGAAAACAAACUUACAAUUACCAAAGAGGAAAGGGGGCAAAGGAGAGAUAAAUUAGAAGCUUGGGACUAACAGAUAUACAACGAAGACCUACUGUAUUACACAGGGAAUUCUACUCAAUAUUUUUAAUAACUUAUAAGGGGAAAGAAUCCAUAAAAGAAUACACAUAUAUUUCUUUAUACAUAUAAAAAAUAUAAAUAUAUAUGUAAUAUAUCACUGAGUCACUUUGCU
ensembl:lncRNA